GACGAACGCUGGCGGCGUGCUUAACACAUGCAAGUCGAACGGAAAGGCCUCUUUCGGGGGGUACUCGAGUGGCGAACGGGUGAGUAACACGUGAGUAACCUGCCCUUGACUUUGGGAUAACUUCAGGAAACUGGGGCUAAUACCGGAUAGGAGCUCCUGCUGCAUGGUGGGGGUUGGAAAGUUUCGGCGGUUGGGGGUGGACUCGCGGCUUAUCAGCUUGUUGGUGGGGUAGUGGCUUACCAAGGCUUUGACGGGUAGCCGGCCUGGGAGGGUGACCGGCCACAUUGGGACUGAGAUACGGCCCAGACUCCUACGGGAGGCAGCAGUGGGGAAUAUUGCACAAUGGGUGGAAGCCUGAUGCAGCAACGCCGUGUGCGGGAUGACGGCCUUCGGGUUGUAAACCGCUUUCGCUCAUGACGAAGCUUUGUGUGACGGUAGUGGGUAAAGAAGCACCGGCUAACUACGUG
rnacentral:rRNA from 1 species